rnacentral:rRNA from 1 species
GACGAACGCUGGCGGCGUGCUUAACACAUGCAAGUCGAACGGAAAGGCCCUGCUUGCAGGGUACUCGAGUGGCGAACGGGUGAGUAACACGUGGGUGAUCUGCCCUGCACUUCGGGAUAAGCUUGGGAAACUGGGUCUAAUACCGGAUAGGAACCAUCUUUAGUGUGGUGGUUGGAAAGUUUUUUCGGUGUAGGAUGAGCUCGCGGCCUAUCAGCUUGUUGGUGGGGUAAUGGCCUACCAAGGCGGCGACGGGUAGCCGGCCUGAGAGGGUGUACGGCCACAUUGGGACUGAGAUACGGCCCAGACUCCUACGGGAGGCAGCAGUGGGGAAUAUUUCACAAUGGGCGCACGCCUGAUGCAGCGACGCCGCGUGGGGGAUGAAGGCCUUCGGGUUGUAAACUCCUUUCGCUAGGGACGAAGCUUUGUUGUGACGGUACCUAGAUAAGAAGCACCGGCUAACUACGUG